rnacentral:snRNA from 1 species
AUCGCUUCUCGACCUUUUGGCUAAGAUCAAGUGUAGUGUGAAUUAGUCAGUUCAUACAACUUUGUGUAUAUGUGUCUGUAUAUAUAUAUGUAUAUAUAGAUAUACAUAUCUAUAUAUACACAUAAAUAUAUAUAAUACAUAUACACACA